AUGUACCACUCGUACACUGCGGUUCCUGCGCGCCGUCCGCGCCCACCUGACGGCUGCUCGCUACGUUUUGUUGGCC
rnacentral:sRNA from 1 species